AGCGAACGCUCGCGGCCGGCUUAACACAUGCAAGUCGAACGCCCGUAGCAAUACGCGAGUGGCCGACGGGUGAGUAACGCGUGGGAACACGCCCUUUGGUUCGAAAUCACUCAGGGAAACUUGAGCUACUACCGGAUAAGCCCGCAAGGGGCCAGAUUUAUUGCCGAAGGCUUGGCUCGCGUCCAAUUAGAUAGUUGGUUAGGUAAUGGCUCACCAAGGCGACGAACGGGAGCUGGGCUGAGCGGAUGAUCAGCUACACUGGGACUGAGACACGGCCCAGACUCCUACGGGAGGCAGCAGUGGGGAAUAUUGGACAAUGGGGGCAACCCUGAUCCAGCCGUGCCGCGUGAGUGAUGAGGGCCCUAGGGUUGUAAAGCUCUUGCGGCGGGGACGAUAAUGACGGUACCCGCAGAAGAAGCCCCGGCUAACUUCGUGCCAGCAGCCGCCGUAAGAC
rnacentral:rRNA from 1 species